rnacentral:rRNA from 1 species
AUCCCUGAACAGGGCAGCUCGGCGGCGGUGGGUGGAGUCCUAGGGAGGCCUAGGUUUGGGUGGUUAGUGGUGUUGGGGAGAGCUAGGGGAGGUAGGGCUCCGGAGGGAGCUAGGUGGGUUGGUUAGUCGAGGCGGCGUAGGGGACAAGUCAGGAGCGGCGUAGGCGUCGAGGGGACGAGGGGAGCGCGAGCCCGUGUGACGGUCGGCUCACGGGUGGAGGUCUGGCUCGUCCUCCGAGCUAGAGCUCGAAGAGCUCGGCGGCCGCUGGUCCCCGGGAGGGCAGCACGGGGAAAAUAAAGAGGAGGAAGGGAACCAAGGAAAAGAGAGAGAGCUUCAGAGUAGAGAGAGAGAUAAGCACGUUGUCGUCAGGACGGAACUGUGGUACCGGUAGUGGGGCGAAGAAGCUCUGGUCAGCAGUAACUAGACGAAGGUACGGCGGAGGGCGGUCGCUGACGUUGGUGGUCCUAGGCGGAGCUACAGCAGGUUCGAGACCUAGUCCGACUGGAGUGGGACGAGACAACGGAGGGGCAGUAGAAGGAGCUCGUCCUCGAGUACGGGCUCGAGGAGGCGGUGGUCGUCGAGACGCCGCGGCGGAGGGACGGCCGGGGCUGGAACGAAGCGACGAGGCCGCUCAGGGGCUGCUCGUCUGUCCGUUGUCCGCUGCAGCACCCGCGGUUAGCGGUUCCGGUCGCGGGUCGGAGACGAAGCGGAGCUGGUACUGGUCCGGCCCGGAGUGGCAGGGAGAGGAAGAGGGAAAGCAAGAAAAGGAAAACGAGAGGGAGGGUAGAGUGCGUUGAGAGACUCGAGAGAGAGAAAAACAAGCAUGUCCUCUGGUGGCACCGGCGGCAAAAAGGAGCAGCGGCGGGAAGCCUAGGGGCGGCCUAGUGGGAAGGAGGUGCUCGGGAAAGAACGGCCUCAGGAAGCGGCGACGCUGAGGGAACUCGAUAGCGCGCUGCAGGGGACGAAGCGGUAGCGGAUGGCGUCAGAGACGAAGGAGAUGUUGCUCAUCCUCGAGCGAGUAGGGCGCGGACGAGCGGGGCGAGCGCAACUGGCGCGGGCAGAGCUGGGCUAGGUCGCUCGCUCGUCCGGACGAACCGGAGAGAAGUCGGACCCGAACCGGGUACCACUCCGGUGGGUACUCGCGGGAGGGGAAAAAAAGGGACACGUGACAACCAGGUUGUCUAAGCCGGGUAUAUUGCAAAAAAAGAGACCUGCUUAAAUUAGUAAAUAGGUUUCUGAUGUCAAAACGUCUUUUCAGGAGGUUGUAGUACGUAUAAUAUUCAGUGGUUGGUACGUAGUAUAAUUUUAUUCAAUAUAUACUUUCUACGAAUCUUAAUACACAUCUAAUUAUUAUAGGUUGAAAGUACGUACAGACUUUACAAAUUUGACGACAAACGUACAUAAACGAAUUAACGGUACGAUUUUACGAAAUUAAGCAUUGAUUUAUUGGCAUCGAGCCAAAAUUUAUUUGAGGUAUACAUUUACCCCAUCUUUUUACGGAUCAAAUUGUACCACGUGAAAAGAACGUACAAAUUUUUGAUAUUUUAUACCAAAUCCCGUCUUGUCAUGGUUUAAGUAUAAUACGUGUACUCCUAAAAGACCUUAACACAAACAAUAAAGGCCGGAGUAAAUUUGAACGGAUCUAUCCAUCAAAUGAAUGCGAGGUGGAGAACGGUACAAUUAUUUGUAAAUUAUAACAACCCAUGUAUUUGUUCUAGCUUGAUUUAUUCAGUACACCACAAAGCAGUCAUACGUGGAGCAACGUAUAACUCGAGGUGAAUAAAACAUCAAAACAAACACGUGAAAAGGUACGGUACGAAGUAAUUUGGUCUGUACGUAGUAUGAACCAACACGUAGUACGGUACAACUAAUACACUACAAACAAAUGAUACAACAAAAGAAGAAAAGCCACAACGAAGAAGCCCAAUCAAGACUAUUGCAGCGCAAACACUCCUAGGCAAGCUUGAUGCGGGCAAACAGAAGAAGUACCUGAGCAAGAAGAAGGAACGCCCUAGAGUCCGUUCUACUGGUAUGGGAGCUUUAGUGAAGAUAGAAACGAACGAUCAACGAGCUAGAUAACGAUACGGCGCUAUGGAUGGUGAACGAUAUAGUACGGAGGGUAUAACGGAACAGUUCGAAGAUUGGGAGGAAAGGAUCGUUUGCAACAAACAGAUACAAUGGUGAAACGAGUCGGGGAGAAUAUCGCAACGAUCAACGUUCACUUCUACCUCAAACAAGGUACAACCUUGUACCAAAACAACCCUAUAGUGUUAUAGAGAAUAAAAUUGAUUACGUAGAUAUAUGAACCAUUUCCCACCUUCCGAGCCGGAAUACGGACCACAAAACAAAGUGAGAACGACGGGAUCAAAGGCAGUAUGGCCACAAUACAAGGAACUAAAACGCAAGGAAUGUGCCAACCCACAAUACCCCUGGGGAACUGUCAAGCGAAACUAAUUUUGAGGAGGUCGUUCCGGGUUGGAACCAAAAUGGUAAACGGAGUGGUGGUGGAUAAAAAGGGAACCCUCAGCGAGAGGGCUCCCAGUAGAAAUAAAAUUGGGGGGGGCCCGGUCACGAACAGAUUCAAACCAGGCUCGAUCUCGGGGAACGUCGCGGUGGAGCCCCUUUGAACUCCCGACCAAAAUCAACAUGCCUAACGAGUAGGCCACAACGGGACUCUUGCUCUAUACACGUCGAGGAUAGCCCUACAGCCGGGUAGCCCGCCAGAACAACCAGAACAAAAUGGUAACAGCUUUACAGAACAUUGGCCCUAAGGCUCAGACUAGCCCAGAAGGACCCUCUUCCUUAUAGGAAUCAACUGGCACUCUCGAACACUACCCGAUUCAACCCUGUGGGGACGUCCCAAAACUUGAAAGCUUUCGGUACGGGCGCCAAUACCCGUCUACCCUUAAACAAUCAUAGGCCAACAUCUCUUGAACUGUGAAUUGAACAAAUUUUACUUAGUUGGCGCACACAUUGGCACUACCAGAGAAAAGCCGCCUCAGGCCCUUCACUUGUGCCAAAACCUCAAUACAAACACGCAUUCAUCAAAGUCCUAGUGAAGAUCAAGUGCUGGCAACGUAGCGAAGAGAAGAGUGAGAAUAAACGCAUACAAUCGGUGGUAUAUACGAUCACGAACGACGUCGAGAUGAAGCGAUGGGAAAGGAUGGGUAUUCGAAUUUAUCAGAACUAGAGCGCUCACACUCUAACGACUCAGGGGCACCGAGUGUCUAUGAAGGUUUGUCAACGACCACGGCUACUACAGUCACGUCUACUACGUUGACUCGAGUUCACCCUCGAGCUACUUCUAGCACAAGUAACACAACAAAGCAAAAGGAAAUCUAGUCAUCACCUCGGGUCAACCCCGCUAGCCCCUAGAUCGUAAACCCCAACAGAAGAAAAUAAAACCAAGGCAUCAGCCUGGAACUAACAUAAGACCUACUACAUACAAAUUGAACAUAAACACACUUCACCACUGACAUUCGGUUGAGAAAUAGGG